rnacentral:rRNA from 1 species
UACGUAGGGUGCAAGCGUUAAUCGGAAUUACUGGGCGUAAAGCGUGCGUAGACGGUAGCGUAAGUCAGAUGUGAAAGCCCCGGGCUCAACCUGGGAAUUGCAUUUGAGACUGCUCUGCUCGGGUGCGGAAGAGGGAAGCGGAAUUCCGGUGUAGCGGUGAAAUGCGUAGAUAUCGGAAGGAACACCAGUGGCGAAAGCGGCUUCCUGGUCCGACACCGACGUUCAGGCACGAAAGCGUGGGGAGCAAACAGG